UACGAAGGGUGCAAGCGUUACUCGGAAUCACUGGGCGUAAAGCGUGCGUAGGCGGUUCGUUAAGUCUGCUGUGAAAGCCCUGGGCUCAACCUGGGAACUGCAGUGGAUACUGGCGGACUAGAGUGUGAUAGAGGAUGGUGGAAUUUCCGGUGGAGCGGUGAAAUGCGUAGAGAUCGGAAAGAACACCAACGGCGAAAGCACUCUGCUGGGCCGACACUGACACUGAGAGACGAAAGCUAGGGGAGCGAAUGGG
rnacentral:rRNA from 1 species